UACGUAGGGUGCGAGCGUUGUCCGGAAUUAUUGGGCGUAAAGAGCUCGUAGGCGGUUUGUCGCGUCUGCUGUGAAAACCCGAGGCUCAACCUCGGGCCUGCAGUGGGUACGGGCAGACUAGAGUGCGGUAGGGGGAGAAUGGAAUUCCUGGUGUAGCGGUGGAAUGCGCAGAUAUCAGGAGGAACACCGAUGGCGAAGGCAGUUCUCUGGGCCGUUACUGACGCUGAGGAGCGAAAGCGUGGGGAGCGAACAGG
rnacentral:rRNA from 1 species